rnacentral:rRNA from 1 species
AGGCGCAAGCCGCUGUAUACGCUCUGACGCCUGCCCGGUGCCGGAAGGUUAAGAGGAUCCGUCAGGCUUCGGCCGAAGCGGUGAAUUCAAGCCCCGGUAAACGGCGGUGGUAACUAUAACCAUCCUAAGGUAGCGAAAUUCCUUGUCGGGUAAGUUCCGACCUGCACGAAUGGCGUAACGACUUCCCCACUGUCUCGACCAGGAGCUCGGCGAAAUUGCAGUACGAGUAAAGAUGCUCGUUAAGCGCAGAAGGACGAAAAGACCCCGGGACCUUUACUAUACCUUGGUAUUGGCAUUCGGUGUGGAUUGUGUAGCAUAGGCGGAAGGCUUCGAAGCCACGGCGCCAGCCGCGGUGGAGCCGCAAGGUGAAAUACCGCUCUGUUCGCAUUGGAUGUCUAACCUCGACCAGUCAUCCUGGUCAGGGACAGUGCCUGGCGGGUAGUUUAACUGGGGCGGUUGCCUCCCAAAGAGUAACGGAGGCGCUCAAAGGUUCCCUCAGCCCGGUUGGCAAUCGGGUGGCGAGUGUAAGUGCACAAGGGAGCUUGACUGCGAGACUGACGGGUCGAGCAGGGACGAAAGUCGGAACUAGUGAUCCGGUGCCGGUGUACGGACGCGGCAUCGCUCAACGGAUAAAAGGUACCCCGGGGAUAACAGGCUGAUCAUUCCCAAGAGUCCAUAUCGACGGGAUGGUUUGGCACCUCGAUGUCGGCUCGUCGCAUCCUGGGGCUGGAGCAGGUCCCAAGGGUUCGGCUGUUCGCCGAUUAAAGCGGCACGCGAGCUGGGUUCAGAACGUCGUGAGACAGUUUGGUCUCUAUCCUCUGCGCUCGUCGGAAUGUUGAGGAGGCCUGCCCAUAGUACGAGAGGACCUGGGUGGACGAACCUCUGGUAUGCCGGUUGUCACGCCAGUGGCACGGCCGGUUGGCUACGUUCGGAAGGGAUAACCGCUGAAAGCAUCUAAGCGGGAAGCCUGCUCCAAGAUAAGCAUUCCAUAGGACUACGGGUCCUUGAAGUCCCCAUGCAGAACACGUGGUUGAUAGGCCGGACGUGGAAGCCCCGCGAGGGGUGGAGCCGACCGGUACUAACGGACGAAAGGCAACACAAC